rnacentral:rRNA from 1 species
GCACAAGUAACCACAAUGCGGGUGAGAAACCCGCACGCCGAAAGAACAAGGUUUCCCUCUCAACGUUUGUCGGAGAGGGGUUAGUCGGGCCUAAGGGAAUGGUGAGAACCGUACCCGAUGGACACACGGUUAAUAUUCCGUGACUGUUUUUGUAAGUGAUGGGAGGACGGAGAUGAGUAUGCAUCGCGCAUUAUCGGAUUUGACGUCCGUGCUUUAAGGAAGUUAUCUAGGAAAAUCCGGAUAGCUGGUUUUAAUACCAAUUCCAAGAAGAGCGGAAAUGCUUGGCCUCGGCCUGGCAAAUGAUGCAAAGCCAUCUUCCAAGAAAAUUCUCUAAACUUAUUGCAGAAACAUCCGUACCGCAAACCGACACAGGUGUUCAGCUCGAGAAGAGUAAGGCGAACGAGUGAGACGUCCCCAAGGAACUCGGCAAAAAAGCAGCCGUAACUUCGGAAUAAGGCUUGCCUGGUCGUGCCUCAUUGCAUUUGGCACGCCCCGCAGACCAACGCGGACUUUACGCGGACUAACGCAGAAGAAAUUCGGAAUCAAAUCCGUUUUUGUCAGCGUGGUUCUGCGUCCAGUCUGCGAAGUCUGCGAGGCGCAACGAGUGUGACGAGGUGCGACUAGGCCGCAGCUAAAGUAUCUCUGGCAACUGUUUAUCAAAAACACAGCUCCCUGCGAACUCGCAAGAGGAUGUAUAGGGGGUGACACCUGACCAAUGCCAGAAGGUCAAACAUGGGGGGUCUAUUUAUCUUCGGAUAGGCAGGCUGAUCUGUGUAAGCCCUGGUGAAUGUCGGCCGUAACUAUAGACAUGACCGUUGUAGUUACGAAAAUAAAUCUUGCCAUAUGCUGGAAAACCCGGUCCGCCUUAGGCGGAAACAAAGUAGUAUGCAUUACGAACACAUGUUGAUGUGUCGUGACAAUAUGUAUAUGCGGAUAAUCAGCAGGAAAGUCUUCUGAUCUAACAAAACAUAAUGAAAAAUAUUCCAGUUGAUAUAGGAAACUAUAUUGCGGGGUUCACAGACGGAGAAGGAAGCUUCAAUGUCUCGAUCAAAAAGAGGUUAGAUUACAAAGAAAGUUGGAAGCUGACCGCGUCGUUCAACAUAUCUCAAAAAGAUAGAGUUAUCCUUGCAUGGGUAAAGCAUAUUUUGGGAUGUGGAACAUUGCGGGAAAGAAAAGAUGGCGUUGUGUAUUACGAAGUAACAAACAUUACUUCACUCCACGAAGUCAUUAUUCCAUUCUUCAAAAUGUAUGGUUUCCGCUCGGCAUACAAAAAGAAUAAUUUCAGAAUUUUUUCUGAAAUAGUCAAAAUGAUGUAUGCAGGCGAGCAUCAUACUCAAGAAGGAUUUCGGAAAGUUCUAGAAUUAAGAGAAACACUUAACCCUGGAAUUGGAAGAAAACGAAAAUACACAUUAUUAGAUGUCGUAACUUCAGAAGAAUCCCCAGAGACUAUACGCAAGACGGUUUCAAAUCAAACAUUGGAGUCGACGAUUUGAAAACGAUGAUAUAGUCCGAUCUCAUUGGCAACAAUGAGUUAACACGUAAGUAAUAGAUUGGUAAAUAGUUGAAGAAAGAUCAUUACACCANNNNNNNNNNNNNNNNNNNNNNNNNNNNNNNNNNNNCCGGUGAAGAUGCCGGUUACCUGCAGUUAGACGAAAAGACCCCAGGAGCUUUACUGCAACUUGAUAUUGAGUUUACGGUCACGAUGCGUAGCAUAGAUGGGAGACUUUGAAGUCCCGAUUUCGGUCGGGAUGGAGUCAUCAGUGAAAUACCAUUCUUCUAGAUUGUAAAUUCUAACCUCGACGGAAAAAACGGCGAGAAACAGUAUCUGGCGGGCAGUUUUAGUGGGGCGCUAUCCUCCUAAAAAGUAACGGAGGAGUCUAUUAAGGUCAGCUAGGCGCGAAUGGAAACCGUGCCGAUAGUGUAAUGGCAUAAGCUGGCUNNNNNNNNNNNNNNNNNNNNNNNNNNNNGUUCGGCACCUCGAUGUCGGCUCAACUUAUCCUGGAGGUGGAGAAGCUUCCAAGGGUAUGGCUGUUCGCCAUUUAAAAAGUUACGCGAGCUGGGUUCAGACCGU